rnacentral:rRNA from 1 species
CCUACGGGAGGCAGCAGUGAGGAAUAUUGGUCAAUGGGCGGGAGCCUGAACCAGCCAAGCCGCGUGAGGGAAGAAGGUACAGCGUAUCGUAAACCUCUUUUGUCAGGGAACAAAGGCGGGGACUAGUCCCCGGAUGAGGGUACCUGAAGAAAAAGCAUCGGCUAACUCCGUGCCAGCAGCCGCGGUAAUACGGAGGAUGCGAGCGUUAACCGGAUUUAUUGGGUUUAAAGGGUGCGCAGGCGGCCUGUUAAGUCAGCGGGAAAAGCCCGGGGCUCAACCCCGGCGAGCCGUUGAAACUGGCGGGCUGGAGUUGGAGAGAAGUACGCGGAAUGCGCGGUGUAGCGGUGAAAUGCUUAGAUAUCGCGCAGAACCCCGAUUGCGAAGGCAGCGUACCGGCUCCACACUGACGCUGAGGCACGAAAGCGUGGGUAUCGAACAGGAUUAGAUACCCUAGUAGUC